UACAGAGGUCCCAAGCGUUGUUCGGAUUCAUUGGGCGUAAAGGGUGCGUAGGCGGCGCGGUAAGUCGGGUGUGAAAUCUCGGGGCUUAACUCCGAAACUGCAUUCGAUACUGCCGUGCUUGAGGACUGGAGAGGAGACUGGAAUUUACGGUGUAGCGGUGAAAUGCGUAGAUAUCGUGAGGAAGACCAGUUGCGAAGGCGACUCUCUGGGCAAUUCCUGACACUGAGGCACGAAGGCCAGGGGAGCAAACGGG
rnacentral:rRNA from 1 species